rnacentral:rRNA from 1 species
ACUCAAAGGAAUUGACGGGGGCCCGCACAAGCAGCGGAGCAUGGGGUUUAAUUCGAUGCAACGCGAAGAACCUUACCUGGACUUGACAUGUCGGUGACCGCCGUGGAAACACGGUUUUCCUUCGGGACACCGUCACAGGUGGUGCAUGGCUGUCGUCAGCUCGUGUCGUGAGAUGUUGGGUUAAGUCCCGCAACGAGCGCAACCCCCGUCGUAUGUUGCCAGCAUUAAGUUGGGGACUCAUACGAGACUGCCGGUGACAAACCGGAGGAAGGCGGGGAUGAUGUCAAGUCAUCAUGCCCCUUACGUCCAGGGCUACACCCGUGCUACAUUGGCGCGUACAAUAGGCAGCGAUACCGCGAGGUGGAGCGAAUCCUUAAAAGCGCGUCUCGGUUCGGAUUGCAGGCUGAAACUCGCCUGCAUGAAGGUGGAGUUGCUAGUAAUCGUGGAUCAGCAUUGCCACGGUGAAUACGUUCUCGGGCCUUGUACACACCGCCCGU